AGACUGGAAGCUCAGUUGGAAGAGCACCAUUGUACUAUGCUGGAGGUUACAGGUUCAAUCCCCAUCUAGUUCA